rnacentral:rRNA from 1 species
GACGUAGGGGGCCAGCGUUGUUCGGAAUUACUGGGUGUAAAGGGGUUCGUAGGCGGUGUGGCAAGUCGGGAGUGAAAUCUCUGGGCUCAACCCAGAGACUGCUUCCGAAACUGCUGUGCUUGAGUGUGAGAGAGGCUCGUGGAAUUGCAGGUGUAGCGGUGAAAUGCGUAGAUAUCUGCAGGAACACCCGUGGCGAAAGCGGCGAGCUGGAUCACUACUGACGCUGAGGAACGAAAGCUAGGGGAGCAAACAGG